rnacentral:rRNA from 1 species
UACGGGGGGGAGCAAGCGUUGUUCGGAUUUACUGGGCGUAAAGGGCGGGUAGGCGGCCACCGCAAGUCAGUUGUGAAAUCUCCGGGCUUAACCCGGAAAGGUCAACUGAUACUGCGGGGCUAGAGUGCAGAAGGGGCAACUGGAAUUCUCGGUGUAGCGGUGAAAUGCGUAGAUAUCGAGAGGAACACCUGCGGCGAAGGCGGGUUGCUGGGCUGACACUGACGCUGAACUGCGAAAGCUAGGGGAGCGAACGGG